GCUGUUUUGGCUCAGUGGAUAGAGCGUCAGGCUGCAGACUGAAGGGUCUCGGGUUCAAUUCCGAUCAAAGGCA
rfam:Myotis lucifugus cont2.1506, whole genome shotgun sequence.